rnacentral:rRNA from 1 species
GCAAGUCGAACGGUAACAGGAAAUAGCUUGCUAUUUCGCUGACGAGUGGCGGACGGGUGAGUAAUGCUUGGGAAUUUACCUUGUCGUGGGGGACAACAGUUGGAAACGACUGCUAAUACCGCAUAAUGUCUACGGACCAAAGGGGGCUUCGGCUCUCGCCUUUAGAUUGGCCCAAGUGGGAUUAGCUAGUUGGUGAGGUAAUGGCUCACCAAGGCGACGAUCCCUAGCUGGUUUGAGAGGAUGAUC